GCAGGGCGUGGUGGCACGUGCCUGUAGUCCUAGCUACUUGGGAGGCUGAGGUGGGAGGAUCACUUGAGCCCAGGAGUUCCGGGCUUGAGCCCAGGAGUGUGCUAUGCCGAUCAGGUGUCCACACUAAGUUCGGCAUCAAUAUGGUGACCUCCCAGGAGCAGGGGACCAUCAGGUGGCCUAAGGAGGGGUGAACCGGCUCAGGUCGGAAAUGGAGCAGGUCAAAACUCCGCUGCUGAUCAGUAGUGGGAUCGUGCCUGUGAAUAACCACUGCACUCCAGCCUGGGCAACAUAGCGAGACCCUGUCUCU
rnacentral:SRP_RNA from 1 species